rnacentral:rRNA from 1 species
GGGCGUUGAUAAGAUGUUUUCUACGUCUUGGGAUUUUGCUCUGUUGAUUGGGAACCCUGCUUCUAACCGUCUCACUAUAAGGAGACAUAGUUUCGAGCUUUGCUCGACCCACGAACCUUGACCUCAAAUCGGGUGAGACUACCCGCUGAACUUAAGCAUAUCAAUAAGCGGAGGAAAAGAAACUAACAAGGAUUCCCCUAGUAACUGCGAGUGAAGCGGGAAAAGCUCAAAUUUAAAAUCUGGUGGCCUUAUAGUCAUCCGAGUUGUAAUUUAGAGAAGCGUCUUCCGCGCUGGACCAUGCACAAGUCUCCUGGAAUGGAGCGUCAUAGAGGGUGAGAAUCCCGUCUUUGGCAUGGACACACCAGGGCUUCCGUGAUGCGCUCUCGAAGAGUCGAGUUGUUUGGGAAUGCAGCUCAAAAUGGGUGGUGAACUCCAUCUAAAGCUAAAUAUUGGCAAGAGACCGAUAGCGAACAAGUACCGUGAGGGAAAGAUGAAAAGCACUUUGGAAAGAGAGUGAAACAGUACGUGAAAUUGUUGAAAGGGAAACGCUUGAAGUCAGUCGCGUCGGACAAGACUCAGCCUUGCUUUGGCUUGGUGUAAUUCUUGUUUGACGGGUCAGCAUCAAUUUUGGCCUUUGGAUAAUGAUGAGAGAAAGGGUGGCACCUUUACGGGUGUGUUAUAGUCUCUUGUCGGAUACGAGGGUCGGGAUUGAGGAACUCAGCAUGCGCCUUUUGGUGUCGGGGCUUAGGCCUACGUUUAC